rnacentral:rRNA from 1 species
AUUGAACGCUGGCGGCAUGCCUAACACAUGCAAGUCGAACGGUAACAGGCCCUUCGGGGCGCUGACGAGUGGCGGACGGGUGAGUAAUACUUAGGAAUCUACCCUGUAGUGGGGGACAACCCGGGGAAACUCGGGCUAAUACCGCAUACGCUCUACGGAGGAAAGCGGGGGACCGCAAGGCCUCGCGCUAUUGGAUGAGCCUAAGCCCGAUUAGCUAGUUGGUGGGGUAAUGGCCUACCAAGGCAAUGAUCGGUAGCUGGUCUGAGAGGACGACCAGCCACACUGGGACUGAGACACGGCCCAGACUCCUACGGGAGGCAGCAGUGGGGAAUAUUGGACAAUGGGCGAAAGCCUGAUCCAGCGAUGCCGCGUGUGUGAAGAAGGCCUGCGGGUUUGUAAAGCACUUUCAGUGGGGAAGAAAUGCUUGGAGCCAACACCGCCAAGUUUUGACGUUACCUACAGAAGAAGCACCGGCUAACU